AGCAGCCGCGGUAAUUCCAGCUCCAAUAGCGUAUAUUAAAGUUGUUGCAGUUAAAAAGCUCGUAGUUGAAUUUUAGGCCUGGCCGGGCGGUCCGUCUUUGGCGAGUACUGUCUGUUGUCGGGUCUUCCUUCUGGUGAACCAAUAUGUCCUUUAUUGGGUGUGCUGGGGAGCCAGGACCAUUACCUUGAAAAAAUUAGAGUGUUUAAAGCAGGCUUUUGCUUGAAUAGAUUAGCAUGGAAUAAUAGAAUAGGACGUUGUGGUUCUAUUUUGUUGGUUUCUAGGACCACCGUAAUGAUUAAUAGGGAUAGUUGGGGGCAUUAGUAUUCAAUUGUCAGAGGUGAAAUUCUUGGAUUUAUUGAAGACUAACUAUUGCGAAAGCAUUUGCCAAGGAUGUUUUCAUUAAUCAAGAACGAAAGUUAGGGGAUCGAAGACGAUCAGAUACCGUCGUAGUCUUAACCAUAAACUAUGCCGACUAGGGAUCGGAUGAUGUUAAUUUUUUAAUGACUCAUUCGGCGCCUUA
rnacentral:misc_RNA from 1 species